rnacentral:rRNA from 1 species
ACGAACGCUGGCGGCACGCUUAACACAUGCAAGUCGAACGAGAGAAGAGGAGCUUGCUUUUCUGAUCUAGUGGCGGACGGGUGAGUAACACGUGAGCAAUCUGCCUUUCAGAGGGGGAUACCGAUUGGAAACGAUCGUUAAUACCGCAUAACAUAAUUGAACCGCAUGAUUUGAUUAUCAAAGAUUUAUCGCUGAAAGAUGAGCUCGCGUCUGAUUAGCUAGUUGGUAAGGUAACGGCUUACCAAGGCGACGAUCAGUAGCCGGACUGAGAGGUUGAUCGGCCACAUUGGGACUGAGACACGGCCCAGACUCCUACGGGAGGCAGCAGUGGGGAAUAUUGCACAAUGGAGGAAACUCUGAUGCAGCGAUGCCGCGUGAGGGAAGAAGGUUUUAGGAUUGUAAACCUCUGUCUUCAGGGACGAAAAAAGACGGUACCUGAGGAGGAAGCUCCGGCUAACUACGUGCCAGCAGCCGCGGUAAUACGUAGGGAGCGAGCGUUGUCCGGAAUUACUGGGUGUAAAGGGAGCGUAGGCGGGAUCGCAAGUCAGAUGUGAAAACUAUGGGCUUAACCCAUAAACUGCAUUUGAAACUGUGGUUCUUGAGUGAAGUAGAGGUAAGCGGAAUUCCUAGUGUAGCGGUGAAAUGCGUAGAUAUUAGGAGGAACAUCAGUGGCGAAGGCGGCUUACUGGGCUUUAACUGACGCUGAGGCUCGAAAGCGUGGGGAGCAAACAGGAUUAGAUACCCUGGUAGUCCACGCCGUAAACGAUGAUUACUAGGUGUGGGGGGACUGACCCCUUCCGUGCCGCAGCAAACGCAAUAAGUAAUCCACCUGGGGAGUACGACCGCAAGGUUGAAACUCAAAGGAAUUGACGGGGGCCCGCACAAGCAGUGGAGUAUGUGGAUUAAUUCGAAGCAACGCGAAGAACCUUACCAGGUCUUGACAUCGUAUGCAUAGCUCAGAGAUGAGUGAAAUCUCUUCGGAGACAUAUAGACAGGUGGUGCAUGGUUGUCGUCAGCUCGUGUCGUGAGAUGUUGGGUUAAGUCCCGCAACGAGCGCAACCCUUACUGUUAGUUGCUACGCAAGAGCACUCUAGCAGGACUGCCGUUGACAAAACGGAGGAAGGUGGGGAUGACGUCAAAUCAUCAUGCCCCUUAUGACCUGGGCCUCACACGUACUACAAUGGCUGUCAACAGAGGGAAGCAAAGCCGCGAGGUGGAGCAAACCCCUAAAAGCAGUCUUAGUUCGGAUUGUAGGCUGCAACCCGCCUACAUGAAGUCGGAAUUGCUAGUAAUCGCAGAUCAGCAUGCUGCGGUGAAUACGUUCCCGGGCCUUGUACACACCGCCCGUCACGCCAUGGGAGUCGGUAACACCCGAAGCCUGUAGUCUAACCGCAAGGAGGACGCAGUCGAAGGUGGGAUUGAUGACUGGGGUG